GGGAUAACUCGGGGAAACCCGAGCUAAUACCGCAUACGUCCUACGGGAGAAAGCAGGGGAUCUUCGGACCUUGCGCUAUCGGAUGAGCCCAUGUCGGAUUAGCUUGUUGGUGAGGUAAUGGCUCACCAAGGCCGCGAUCCGUAGCUGGUCUGAGAGGAUGAUCAGCCACACCGGGACUGAGACACGGCCCGGACUCCUACGGGAGGCAGCAGUGGGGAAUAUUGGACAAUGGGGGAAACCCUGAUCCAGCCAUGCCGCGUGUGUGAAGAAGGCCUUCGGGUUGUAAAGCACUUUCAGUGGGGAAGAAGGCAUGCCGAUUAAUACCCGGCAUGAAGGACAUCACCCACAGAAGAAGCACCGGCUAACUCCGUGCCAGCAGCCGCGGUAAUACGGAGGGUGCAAGCGUUAAUCGGAAUUACUGGGCGUAAAGGGCGCGUAGGCGGCUUGCCAAGCCGGAUGUGAAAGCCCCGGGCUCAACCCGGGAACGGCAUUCGGAACUGGCAGGCUAGAGUGCAGGAGAGGAAGGUGGAAUUCCCGGUG
rnacentral:rRNA from 1 species